AAUCAUUUGCCCUAUAAUUGAGGGCUAGUAUGAAUGGUUUGACAUGAGCAUAGCUGUCUCCUUAAAAUUUUAUAAAAUUUGGUUUUUAGGUGAAGAAACCUAAAUUAAAUUGAAAGACAAGAAGACCCUAUCGAGCUUUAGAAUAGUUAAUUAAAAAAUAUAAAUAAAAUAAUUAAUUUUAAUUAAAAACUUUGGUUGGGGCGACUGAGGAACACAUAAAGCUUCCUUAAUUAGACAAUGCUAAUAAGCGAUGAUCCAGAAAAUCUGAUUAAAAAAAUUAGUUACCGUAGGGAUAACAGCAUAAUCUUUUUUAAGAGCUCUUAUCGAAAAAAAGGUUUGU
rnacentral:rRNA from 1 species